GAAUUGGUGGGAAUGGAUUUAAUAGGACCGUUACCAGUAACAAAGGAUGGAUACCAGUAUAUACUUACAGCCAUAGAUUAUCUUUCAAGAUGGGUGGAAGCCUUUCCACUUAGAAAUAAGUCGUCAAUUGAGGUGGUACAGAUCAUGUUCACAAUGAUUCUUCGACGUGGAUGCCCACAGCGGAUACUGACAGAUCGUGGUGCAGAAUUCAAUAAUAAGCUUAACUUGUAUGUUUGUAAUAAAUUGGGAAUAGAACGUAGCUUCACCAGUCCAUACCACCCACAAACCAAUGGCUUGGCUGAAAACGCUAAUAAAUCCAUAAAAAGGUAAGUGAAUGGGUGGGUAUCGUACAGUAUUAAUGGCAAGUAGAAUGUGCUAUAUUAGAAGAUGCAACUCACAAAAAAAUCUUCAAAAGCAAUGUGUUACAUGGAAAUCUUUUUCAUUACGUAUUACACCUUUUUGAUUGUGUAUGAUCUGUUUCAAACAAGACCGUACAUGUGACUUUCUUUUCUUAAACAAUCAAAUCAAUGUGCCUUUGUUACAGAGCACUGCAGAAGAUGGUUGAUGACAAUGGGAGUAAUUGGGAUAAAUUACUUGAACCCAUUUUGUUUUCUUUGCGAACUAAAAUACAUGCAACAACAAAAAUUUCACCUUUCCGACUAAUGUUUGGUGAUGAUGUAGUGUUUCCAGAAGAUGUCUUAGAGAAUUACACGAUCCCAGAUCUGAAUAUGUUAGUGGAAGAUUUCUUCAAAGAGAACAGCAUGAAUAUGAAAUCGAGACAUGACGCUGACAUUGCGCUGCCACUAAGUAACAUUGCUAAAGCACAAGAAAAACAACAAAGACAUUAUGCUAAAAAGACUUCUAAAUAUGGGGAAAUAACAUUUGAAGUUGGGGACUCUGUACUAUUACUGAAUACUAGACAGAGAACAAGAAAAGAAGGAGUAUUGGAAUCUAAAUAUCAUGGACCAUACAAAAUUAUGAGUGUUGAAGGUAAGAGAGUGAAAUUACAAACCAUCUCAGGGAAACAGUUAGGAACCAUGUACAGUAUUGC